UACGGGGGGGGCAAGCGUUGUCCGGAAUCAUUGGGCGUAAAGCGCGCGUAGGUGGCCUCGUAAGUCCGCUGUGAAAGUCAAAGGCUCAACCUUUGAAAGCCGGUGGAUACUGUGGGGCUAGAGUACGGAAGAGGCGAGUGGAAUUCCUGGUGUAGCGGUGGAAUGCGCAGAUAUCAGGAGGAACACCAAUAGCGAAGGCAGCUCGCUGAGACGUUACUGACACUGAGGCGCGAAAGCGUGGGGAGCGAACAGG
rnacentral:rRNA from 1 species